rnacentral:rRNA from 1 species
GACGAACGCUGGCGGCGUGCUUAACACAUGCAAGUCGAACGGAAAGGCCCUGCUUUUGUGGGGUGCGCGAGUGGCGAACGGGUGAGUAACACGUGAGUAACCUGCCCUUGACUUUGGGAUAACUUCAGGAAACUGGGGCUAAUACCGGAUAUGAGCUCCUGCUGCAUGGUGGGGGUUGGAAAGUUUCGGCGGUUGGGGAUGGACUCGCGGCUUAUCAGCUUGUUGGUGGGGUAGUGGCUUACCAAGGCUUUGACGGGUAGCCGGCCUGAGAGGGUGACCGGCCACAUUGGGACUGGGAUACGGCCCAGACUCCUACGGGAGGCAGCAGUGGGGAAUAUUGCACAAUGGGCGGAAGCCUGAUGCAGCAACGCCGCGUGCGGGAUGACGGCCUUCGGGUUGUAACCCGCUUUCGCCUGUGACGAAGCGUGAGUGACGGUAAUGGGUAAAGAAGCACCGGCUAACUACGUG